UAAUACGUAGGGGGCAAGCGUUGUCCGGAUUCAUUGGGCGUAAAGAGCUCGUAGGCGGUUCAGUAAGUCGGGUGUGAAAGCUCCGAGCUCAACUCGGAGAGGCCACCCGAUACUGCUGUGACUUGAGUCCAGUAGAGGAGCGUGGAACUCCUGGUGUAGCGGUGGAAUGCGCAGAUAUCAGGAAGAACACCUGCAGCGAAGGCGGCGCUCUGGGCUGGAACUGACGCUGAGGAGCGAAAGCGUGGGUAGCAAACAGG
rnacentral:rRNA from 1 species